rnacentral:piRNA from 1 species
UCAACAUGUACACCUUUUGAA